rnacentral:rRNA from 1 species
AACGAACGCUGGCGGCAGGCUUAACACAUGUAAGUCGAACGCAUCCUUCGGGGUGAGUGGCAGACGGGUGAGUAACGCGUGGGAACGUGCCCUUCAGUUCGGGAUAACCCAGGGAAACUUGGGCUAAUACCGGAUACGUGCGAGAGCAGAAAGAUUUAUCGCUGAAGGAUCGGCCCGCGUCUGAUUAGCUAGUUGGUGGGGUAAUGGCCCACAAAGGCGACGAUCAGUAGCUGGUCUGAGAGGAUGAUCAGCCACAUUGGGACUGAGACACGGCCCAAACUCCUACGGGAGGCAGCAGUGGGGAAUAUUGGACAAUGGGCGCAAGCCUGAUCCAGCCAUGCCGCGUGAGUGGUGAAGGCCUUAGGGUUGUAAAGCUCUUUCGUCCGGGACGAUAAUGACGGUACCGGAAGAAGAAGCCCCGGCUAACUUCGUGCAGCAGCCGCCGUAA